UACAUGCAAGUCGAACGCGUCUCCGUUAAUGAUUUUAGGUGCUUGCACUUGAAAGAUUUAACAUUGAGACGAGUGGCGAACUGGUGAGUAACACGUGGGUAACCUGCCCUUGAAGUAGGGGAUAACACUUGGAAACAGGUGCUAAUACCGUAUAACAACCAAAACCACCUGGUUUUGGUUUAAAAGACGGCUUCGGCUGUCACUUUAGGAUGGACCCGCGGCGUAUUAGCUUGUUGGUAAGGUAACGGCCUACCAAGGCGAUGAUACGUAGCCGACCUGAGAGGGUAAUCGGCCACAUUGGGACUGAGACACGGCCCAAACUCCUACGGGAGGCAGCAGUAGGGAAUCUUCCACAAUGGACGAAAGUCUGAUGGAGCAACGCCGCGUGAGUGAUGAAGGGUUUCGGCUCGUAAAACUCUGUUGUUGGAGAAGAACAGGUGUCAGAGUAACUGUUGACAUCUUGACGGUAUCCAACCAGAAAGCCACGGCUAACUACGUGCCAGCAGCCGCGGUAAUACGUAGGUGGCAAGCGUUGUCCGGAUUUAUUGGGCGUAAAGCGAGCGCAGGCGGUUUUUUAGGUCUGAUGUGAAAGCCUUCGGCUUAACCGGAGAAGUGCAUCGGAAACCGGGAGACUUGAGUGCAGAAGAGGACAGUGGAACUCCAUGUGUAGCGGUGAAAUGCGUAGAUAUAUGGAAGAACACCAGUGGCGAAGGCGGCUGUCUGGUCUGUAACUGACGCUGAGGCUCGA
rnacentral:rRNA from 1 species